AUCUAUAAUUGGAUAUUGCAACUUCGAACGGCUAAAACUACACAUGUUUUUCAUGUGAAAAUUUAGAUUUUGAAAUGUGCAUUUCGAUAUUCGGGCGGCUAAAGCAAACUUUUCUUUAUUGUUUUUCUAUCUCUGCGUUUUUGGGCGAUGUUGCCAAUUUAGAUCGGGGGGAAGGAGAGCAUGCCCCAUGAUUUUUUUCUCUGCACUGCUUUUUUUUUAGGGAAUUCUCUGCACUGCUUUUUUGGUUUUGCUUGGCGAGAAGGUUAGGGUUCCCAGAUGUUUUAGAUCACGCACAGAAAGGGGCUGCUGGGACGUUGGGUUUGUGUCCAGUGGACAAGUGUUUU
rnacentral:lncRNA from 1 species